GGUCCCAUAGCUCAGUUGGUUAGAGCGUCGUACUAAUAGAUUCACACACACCACAGUCUCCCCUGGAGCUGUGAUGGGGAUCCAUCAAGUAAAUGCGAAAAUGCGAAGGUCUUGGGUUCAACCCCCAAUGGGACCA